AGUGCGACUGAGGACGUAGGGGAGGCUCAGAGCGGAAAAGUACUGAAUACUGCGUCAGAGUGGAGGAGAAUGCCUUCAAGUCCGGCACCCCCAUAAAGGAGUCUCAGUAGAUGCACCUGAGAAAGGCCUUAGCUGAAAGCCUUUGGAAAAAUGACCUCUGAAUUGAGGCACCUGAGCAAGGCAGUGUAUAUUGCAGAAGAGCAUAGCGGGCCAGUGUGGCCUGAGUCCCUGACUGCAACUCCGUCCUGAGACGGCAGCGUGUUGGCUGUGCCCCAGCUCAGUGUAGCGAGGACAGCUUUCUGCUCCUGAGGCCUGCUAGUGCCUUUGGGCUUCCCGGUGAAAUCCUCUUCGGAUAGCAUCUGUCUUUCAGACCUGUCAGUCAUAACAUACUGACAUGCUGAGCCCUAAUGGUGUGUUGAGGUGGUAAAUGCCUAUCAGCCUGAGCCAUUGGGUGACCAUGUAGAUCAGACCAUCACUGGACAACUAGGGAGAGUACUUGUCAAACCAUCAGUGGACAUGUAGGACUCUGCUUGUUCAGAAAUUCUCCAGCAUGGCUGCAUCAAUGUAACAAAGCAUACCCUUUGUGCUAACCUCUGGUUGCUCAGCACUCUUGCAGGAAAAAAGCUAUCAGGAAGAAUACCUUUCAGUGCACAUUGGUGGUAUCCAGUCAUCAACAUACCCUCAAUAUUACUGAUUAUUUUUAUUUUAAUAAUUAUUAUUUUAUUAUUAGCAAAUAAAUAAUGAUAUUCAUUACUUUACAAGAGAGAGUUUCUUCUCCAUUCUUCUCAACAGUUAUUCCAAAUGUUUCUGGAAGUCCUCUGCAUUUCCUCAAGUCCUCUGCAGCUUCCUGCCAUCAUCUCUCUCAAAUGGUCAAGUGGCAUUGCUACCUUUUUUAUAGAGGAAGCAGAGAUUAUGCGACAAGAACACACAUCAUCUCCCAAAUCCACCUGCACAUUUACCUGCAAUUGCCCCUCUUCUUAAACAGCUGUCUUACAGGGAGAGCUAACCUUCCUAUUUACCCGCAUAAAUAAUUCUCCAUGCUUGUCUGUAGUCUCAACCAGGCAAGUCAGCAACUUACAGGUUCAGCACUAAAAUAUCUCGGGCAUUGUUGACUAAAUUUUGUUCCAAUAGAUUCACAUCUCAAUUUUUUAUGUUGCUCUAGGUUUCCAAUCUCAUUUCGAUGAAGAUUUAUUUAGGAAAAGAUUAAAAUAACCAUGUUUUUAAUCAUCCUCCU
rnacentral:lncRNA from 1 species